UACGUAAGGGCCAAGCGUUGUCCGGAUUUAUUGGGCGUAAAGAGCUCGUAGGCGGUUGGGUAAGUCGGGUGUGAAAACUCCAGGCUCAACUUGGAGAUGCCACCCGAUACUGCUCUGACUUGAGUUCGGUAGGGGAGUGGGGAAUUCCUGGUGUAGCGGUGAAAUGCGCAGAUAUCAGGAGGAACACCGGUGGCGAAGGCGCCACUCUGGGCCGAAACUGACGCUGAGGAGCGAAAGCGUGGGUAGCAAACAGG
rnacentral:rRNA from 1 species